GAUAAUUCUUUGUUGUGGGGGGUCUGUCCUGUGUACUGUAGGAAGUUAAGCAGCAUCCCUGGCCUCUACCCACUAGAUGUUAGAGGUAAAUUC